rnacentral:rRNA from 1 species
UCUAAGCACAUGCCUUCAUACGGUGAAGCCGCGAAUAGCUCAUUACAACAGCCACCGUUUACUAGAAUAUAGUUAUCCUACUUGGAUAACUGUGGCAAUUCUAGAGCUAAUACAUGCAAAAAAGCUCCGCCCGCAAGGAACGAGCGCAUUUAUUAGAAUAAAAACCAAUCGGGUUUCGGCCCGUAAUUUGGUGAAUCUGAAUAACUUUGCCAAUCGCACAGUCCUAGUACUGGCGAUGUAUCUUUCAAGUGUCUGCCUUAUCAACUUUCGAUGGUAGGUUAUACGCCUACCAUGGUAGUAACGGGUAACGGAGAAUAAGGGUUCGACUCCGGAGAGGGAGCCUGAGAAACGGCUACCACAUCCAAGGAAGGCAGCAGGCGCGCAAAUUACCCACUUCCAGAACGGAGAGGUAGU